GGUGAGCGCUGGCGCGAGGCCGCGGGAAUAGGGAGGUGUGGAGCGUUAUCCGGAAUAAUUGGGCGUAAGGCGCGCGCAGGCGGUUUCUGAAGUCUGAUGUGAAAGCCCACGGCUCAACCGUGGAGGGUCAUUGGAAACUGGGAAACUUGAGUGCAGAAGAGGAAAGCGGAAUUCCACGUGUAGCGGUGAAAUGCGUAGAGAUGUGGAGGAACACCAGUGGCGAAGGCGGCUUUCUGGUCUGUAACUGACGCUGAGGCGCGAAAGCGUGGGGAGCAAACAGGAUUAGAUACCCUAGUAGUC
rnacentral:rRNA from 1 species